UCCUUGUGCCCGACGGAGGCUGGGCGUGA
rnacentral:sRNA from 1 species